UGGAGAGGCAGAGAGAGGAGGAUGAG
rnacentral:piRNA from 1 species